CCUACGGGAGGCAGCAGUGAGGAAUUUUUCGCAAUGGGCGCAAGCCUGACGAAGCUAUGCCGCGUGAAGGAUGAAGGCCUGCGGGUUGUAAACUUCUUUUAUUAGAGAAGAUAAUGACGGUAUCUAAUGAAUAAGCAUCGGCUAACUAUGUGCCAGCAGCCGCGGUAAU
rnacentral:rRNA from 1 species